rnacentral:rRNA from 1 species
UACGGAGGGGGCUAGCGUUGUUCGGAAUUACUGGGCGUAAAGCGCACGUAGGCGGCUUUGUAAGUUAGAGGUGAAAGCCCGGGGCUCAACUCCGGAAUUGCCUUUAAGACUGCAUCGCUAGAAUUGUGGAGAGGUAAGUGGAAUUCCGAGUGUAGAGGUGAAAUUCGUAGAUAUUCGGAAGAACACCAGUGGCGAAGGCGACUUACUGGACACAUAUUGACGCUUGGAGGUGCGAAAAGCGUGGGGAGCAAACAGG